UUUCUGGGAGGAUGCGAUAAUGAGGACAGUUAAUUCAGAAACAGGGUGUGAGAGGCAGAGAUUAGCCCGCCAGCAGGACGAUGCUGUCCACAGAUUUUCUGCUCUGAAUGGCUGUCAGUGAGGGCCGAGGGGCUGGGACGGGCCGCCGAGCCGAGAGGAGAGGAGCGACAGUUUUAAUUAAGGAAGCGUUUUGGUGAUCCGGAGCCAGUGGCUGAAAGUUCGAUGGAAGAGGAAGCCAAGCCAGCCAUGCCCGCUGUCAAAACUGAGAAAGCAGCACGGGCUGGUUGAGGGGUGGGUGACAUUUUGACAGUCUGGUCUCUUAUCUCCUGAAAAAGGGGAAUCAUAAAAGUCGCCAUGGAUGCAAGGAAACAUGCAGCACAGUGCUUAUAAUUUAAUUAAAGUGAGGGCAUAAGCAACUGUGCCUAUGAUCAAUGUUCA